CAGAUUAGCAUGGCCCCUGCGCAAGGAUGACACGCAAAUUCGUGAAGCGUGCUAUAAAAUA
rnacentral:snRNA from 1 species